UGGGGUGUCGCCAAGUGGUAAGGCAGAGGCUUUUGAUGCCUCCAUGCGUAGGUUCGAAUCCUACCACCCCAGCCA
rnacentral:tRNA from 3 species